rnacentral:rRNA from 1 species
UACGAAGGGGGCUAGCGUUGCUCGGAAUUACUGGGCGUAAAGCGCACGUAGGCGGUCUUUUAAGUCGGGGGUGAAAUCCUGGAGCUCAACUCCAGAACUGCCUUCGAUACUGGAAGACUCGAGUCCGGGAGAGGUGAGUGGAACUGCGAGUGUAGAGGUGAAAUUCGUAGAUAUUCGCAAGAACACCAGUGGCGAAGGCGGCUCACUGGCCCGGUACUGACGCUGAGGUGCGAAAGCGUGGGGGAGCAAACAGGG